CCUACGGGAGGCAGCAGUAAGGAAUAUUGGACAAUGGACGAAAGUCUGAUCCAGCCAUGCCGCGUGCAGGAUGAAAGCCCUAUGGGUUGUAAACUGCUUUUAUACAGGAAGAAACACUCGUACGUGUACGAGCUUGACGGUACUGUAAGAAUAAGGACCGGCUAACUCCGUGCCAGCAGCCGCGGUAAUACGGAGGGUCCGAGCGUUAUCCGGAAUCAUUGGGUUUAAAGGGUCCGCAGGCGGUCUUUUAAGUCAGAGGUGAAAGCCUACAGCUCAACUGUAGAACGGCCUUUGAUACUGAAAGACUUGAGUUAUUAUGAAGUGGUUAGAAUGUGUGGUGUAGCGGUGAAAUGCAUAGAUAUCACACAGAAUACCGAUUGCGAAGGCAGAUCACUAAUAAUAUACUGACGCUCAUGGACGAAAGCGUGGGGAGCGAACAGGAUUAGAUACCCUGGUAG
rnacentral:rRNA from 1 species